GUGGGGAAUCUUGCGCAAUGGGCGAAAGCCUGACGCAGCGACGCCGCGUGGGGGAGGAAGGCCUUCGGGUUGUAAACCCCUUUGGCCCGGGACGAACGAGUGGCUUUGGCCGCUGUGACGGUACCGGGAGAACAAGCACCGGCUAACUCUGUGCCAGCAGCCGCGGUAAUACAGAGGGUGCGAGCGUUGUCCGGAAUCACUGGGCGUAAAGGGCGCGUAGGCGGCCUGGUGCGCGUGCCGUGAAAGCCCGGGGCUCAACCCCGGGUCGGCGGUGCGAACGGCCGGGCUGGAGCCGAUCAGAGGCGGGCGGAAUUCCGGGUGUAGCGGUGGAAUGCGUAGAGAUCCGGAAGAACACCGGGGGCGAAGGCGGCCCGCUGGGAUCGAGCUGACGCUGAGGCGCGACAGCGUGGGGAGCAAACAGG
rnacentral:rRNA from 1 species